rnacentral:tRNA from 1 species
AGCGGCGUGGCUCGGUGGCCAGAGCCCGGGCCGGGGAGUCCGAGGUCGGGGGUUCGAAUCCCGCCUCCGCCA